CCAGACUCCUACGGGAGGCAGCAGUGGGGAAUAUUGCACAAUGGGCGGAAGCCUGAUGCAGCAACGCCGCGUGCGGGAUGACGGCCUUCGGGUUGUAAACCGCUUUCGCCUGUGACGAAGCGUGAGUGACGGUAAUGGGUAAAGAAGCACCGGCUAACUACGUGCCAGCAGCCGCGGUGAUACGUAGGGUGCGAGCGUUGUCCGGAUUUAUUGGGCGUAAAGGGCUCGUAGGUGGUUGAUCGCGUCGGAAGUGUAAUCUUGGGGCUUAACCCUGAGCGUGCUUUCGAUACGGGUUGACUUGAGGAAGGUAGGGGAGAAUGGAAUUCCUGGUGGAGCGGUGGAAUGCGCAGAUAUCAGGAGGAACACCAGUGGCGAAGGCGGUUCUCUGGGCCUUUCCUGACGCUGAGGAGCGAAAGCGUGGGGAGCGAACAGGCUUAGAUACCCUGGUAGUCCACGCUGUAAACGGUGGGUACUAGGUGUGGGGCCCAUUCCACGGGUUCCGUGCCGUAGCUAACGCUUUAAGUACCCCGCCUGGGGAGUACGGCCGCAAGGCUAAAACUCAAAGGAAUUGACGGGGGCCCGCACAAG
rnacentral:rRNA from 1 species